AACGAACGCUGGCGGCAGGCCUAACACAUGCAAGUCGAGCGAGGUAGCAAUACCUAGCGGCGGACGGGUGAGUAACGCGUGGGAACGUGCCCUUUGCUACGGAAUAGCCCUGGGAAACUGGGAGUAAUACCGUCUGUGCCCUUCGGGGGAAAGAUUUAUCGGCAAAGGAUCGGCUCGCGUGGGAUUAGGUAGUUGGUGGGGUAAUGGCCUACCAAGCCGACGAUCCAUAGCUGGUUUGAGAGGAUGAGCAGCCACACUGGGACUGAGACACGGCCCAGACUCCUACGGGAGGCAGCAGUGGGGGAUCUUGGACAGUGGGCGCAAGCCUGAUCGAGCCAUGCCGCGAGAGCGAUGAAGGCCUUAGGGUUGUAGAGCUCUUUCGUGGGGGAAGAGAAUGACUGUACCCCAAGGAGAAGCCCCGGCUAACUCCGUGCCAGCAGCCGCCGUAA
rnacentral:rRNA from 1 species